UUCGAUGUGAACCAGGUGAUACCUGAUCAGAUGAAAUGGCUGCAUUUGUAGAUUGGUCAUGUUCAACAGCAGGGUAUAGAAGGAGGUGGGGUGAUCUGGAAAAUUAAAAAAUUGUACAGAAACAAAAUCCUAUUCUUCCUCUGCUAAAAUAUUACUUAAAGAAAGUGGUGCCUUGGUUUUAGAAUAUGUCUUUAAAACCAAGUUUUAGGUGGAUUCAUCUCUGUCAUGUAUCCCCUUUUGCCCCCCCCUCUGAUUUUCAAGACAAGGUCACUAAGUAAAAGUCAAAGUGGAGAAUGGUGAUAAUAAAAAGAAGAGAGUGCAUAAAAAUUCUUUCUUGAGCAUUGAUCUGAAAUGACCUUGAAGUUAAAUUGGAAAAUAAAUUGAAGACAACUGAAACAGGAAUUAGAGCAUUCAGACCAGCAAAAUAUAAUGCUUCUCAAUGGGACUGGAAGAAAAUUAAAAAUCAUUUAUUGGGCAUUUGGCAGAAAAAUAAUGGUAGCCUGGAUCUUAUGGAAUUACCAUAUCAAGGACAUUCAAGAAGAUCAAAUUGCUUCUAUGGAUCCUGCAUGGCUUGAUAAUCAAAUACUUAAUGUUGUAAAAGGCUUUAACCCCUGAAAUAUAUUAAAACAUUUAUUCUAGUACA